AACGAACGCUGGCGGCGUGCUUAACACAUGCAAGUCGAACGGAAAGGCCCUGCUUUUUUGUGGUUCUCGAGUGGCGAACGUGUGAGUAACACGUGAAUAACCUUGCCUGGACUUUGUGAUAACUUCAGGAAACUGGGGCUAAUACCGCAUAGGAGCUCCUGCAGCAUGGUGGGGGUUGGAAAUUUUCGUCGGUUGUGGAUGUACUCGCGGCUUAUCAGCUUGUUGGUUGGGUAGUUGCUUACCAAGGCUUUGACUGAUAGCCGGCCUGAGAGGGUGAACGCGGACCAGAGGACUAAGGGACGGAGCAGACUGGAAUGGUGGGCAGUAGUGGAGAAUCUUGUACAGUGGGGGGAAGUGUGUGACAGAAGCGCUCGGAGCGGAAUGCCGGUUUACGUGUGAGAAACCGCUGUAGCUUGUGACGAUGCGUGAGUGACGGUAAUGGCUAAAGAAGCACCGGCUAACUACGUG
rnacentral:rRNA from 1 species